AAACGUCUGGGCAAUCGGUAGUCUGACCCGAUCAAAGAUGGUUAUCAGGGGCGACCACACGUUUGCAGACAGCUACCUGACAGUCAUUCCCCGGGGAACGGAGUUCGUGGUGUUCAGCAUCGACGGGUCCUUCGCUGCCAGCGUCUCGAUCAUGGGCAGCGACCCCAAAGUGCGGGCCGGAGCCGUGGAUGUUGUCAGACACUGUCAGG